CUGGUCACGGACUGGGGACUCGGUGCUUAGUGUGUGGAUGGACCCGGGACUUGGUGAAAACGUGACUCUCAGGUCCUGCCCUUCCUCCAAACUCCCUGACAAACUUGAUCCAAACAACCUCUAUGUCCCCAGAAGAUUUGUGUUUGAAGCCCCUCCCCGAUUCCCUGGGCUUCGGUGGUGAAAUCCUAUAGAUUACAGCACCAGGGCCUGGGAGCCAGGAGGCGGCGUCAGGUCUGAGGUGGAACCAGUGCGGUCCCUAGCAGCUCUCCUCACACGGGUCUCCCAAGUCAUUCUUCCAGCCUGCAACGUGGUACAAAGGCAGGCGGCCUCUGCAGCUGAGAGUAAGAAGGAACACAGGGACCUCUGUCCUGCAACAAAACUCCCGCAGCAACUGGGAGCUGAAAAGUGGCUCUCAGCCCCAGACAUCUCAUGGACCUGGCUGAGACCACGAAUUCAGCCUGCUGAGACCCGAGAGUGAAGUCACAUCGUACCGAGGCCGCGGACCUGCGGAGAUGGGGCUGAGGGUUGGUGCUGCUCUGAGCUCCUGUGCUCAUGGGAACUGGUUACACAGCAACAGGAAAUCGGUGCAGACAGAAGACACUGUCUCAAGCACGCUCAUGGAGACCCAGACCCUGCCACAUUCCCGCCGCAGGAACAAGACACACUUGGUUCUCAUGAGCACCUGGGCCUCCACCAAAGCAAGCCUUGAUUCCACACAAGAGGAAAAUCUCAUU